UACGUAGGGUCCGAGCGUUGUCCGGAAUUAUUGGGCGUAAAGGGCUCAUAGGCGGUCCGUCACGUCGGGAGUGAAAACUUGGGGCUUAACCCCAAGCCUGCUUCCGAUACGGGCGGACUAGAGGUAGGCAGGGGAGAAUGGAAUUCCUGGUGUAGCGGUGAAAUGCGCAGAUAUCAGGAGGAACACCGGUGGCGAAGGCGGUUCUCUGGGCCUUACCUGACGCUGAGGAGCGAAAGCGUGGGGAGCAAACAGG
rnacentral:rRNA from 1 species